rnacentral:ncRNA from 2 species
CCACUCCGCCGUGGCGAUUUGAACCGGAUUGCGGGCCACGUUAAAUAAGCCGCUAAAAAGGAAACAGGCCAACCCCU